UGAGACACGGACCAAACUCCUACGGGAGGCAGCAGUGAGGAAUAUUGGUCAAUGGACGCAAGUCUGAACCAGCCAUGCCGCGUGCAGGAAGACGGCUCUAUGAGUUGUAAACUGCUUUUGUACUAGGGUAAACGCUUCUACGUGUAGGAGCCUGAAAGUAUAGUACGAAUAAGGAUCGGCUAACUCCGUGCCAGCAGCCGCGGUAAUACGGAGGAUCCAAGCGUUAUCCGGAUUUAUUGGGUUUAAAGGGUGCGUAGGCGGUUUGAUAAGUUAGAGGUGAAAUACCGGGGCUCAACUCCGGAACUGCCUCUAAUACUGUUGAACUAGAGAGUAGUUGCGGUAGGCGGAAUGUAUGGUGUAGCGGUGAAAUGCUUAGAGAUCAUACAGAACACCGAUUGCGAAGGCAGCUUACCAAACUAUAUCUGACGUUGAGGCACGAAAGCGUGGGGAGCAAACAGGAUUAGAUACCCUGGUAGUCCACGCAGUAAACGAUGAUAACUCGUUGUCGGCAAUACACAGUCGGUGACUAAGCGAAAGCGAUAAGUUAUCCACCUGGGGAGUACGUUCGCAAGAAUGAAACUCAAAGGAAUUGACGGGGGCCCGCACAAGCGGAGGAACAUGUGGUUUAAUUCGAUGAUACGCGAGGAACCUUACCCGGGCUUGAAAGUUAGUGACGAUUCUGGAAACAGGAUUUCCCUUCGGGGCACGAAACUAGGUGCUGCAUGGUUGUCGUCAGCUCGUGCCGUGAGGUGUCGGGUUAAGUCCCAUAACGAGCGCAACCCCUACCGUUAGUUGCCAUCAGGUCAAGCUGGGCACUCUGGCGGGACUGCCGGUGUAAGCCGAGAGGAAGGUGGGGAUGACGUCAAAUCAGCACGGCCCUUACGUCCGGGGCUACACACGUGUUACAAUGGGCGGUACAGAAGGCAGCUACCUGGCGACAGGAUGCCAAUCCCGAAAGCCGCUCUCAGUUCGGACUGGAGUCUGCAACCCGACUCCACGAAGCUGGAUUCGCUAGU
rnacentral:rRNA from 1 species